GGGGCGGUAGCUCAGCCGGUCAGAGCAGGGGACUCAUAAUCCUCCGGUCGUGGGUUCGAGCCCCACCCGCCCCA
rfam:Frankia asymbiotica strain NRRL B-16386 contig_144, whole genome shotgun sequence.